rnacentral:rRNA from 1 species
CCUACGGGAGGCAGCAGUGAGGAAUAUUGGUCAAUGGUCGCGAGCCUGAACCAGCCAAGUCGCGUGAGGGAGGACGGUCCUGUGUAUUGUAAACCUCUUUUGUCAGGGAACAAAAACUGCCACGCGUCCCCGUCCGAGAGUACCCGAAGAAAAAGCAUCGGCUAACUCCGUGCCAGCAGCCGCGGUAAUACGGAGGAUGCGAGCGUUAUCCGGAUUUAUUGGGUUUAAAGGGUGGGCAGGCGGAAUAUCAAGUCAGCGGUAAAAGUGAGGGGCUCAACCCCUUCGAGCCGUUGAAACUGGUAGUCUUGAGUGGGCGAGAAGUAUGCGGAAUGCGUGGUGUAGCGGUGAAAUGCAUAGAUAUCACGCAGAACUCCGAUUGCGAAGGCAGCAUGCCGGCGCUCAACUGACGCUGAGGCACGAAAGUGUGGGUAUCGAACAGGAUUAGAUACCCGGGUAGUC